rnacentral:rRNA from 1 species
CGCGUAGGCGGUUAUGUAAGUCAGAUGUGAAAGACCUUGGCUUAACCAAGGAAUUGCAUUUGAUACUGCACAACUAGAGUAUGGUAGAGGAAAGUGGAAUUUCCGGUGUAGCGGUGAAAUGCGUAGAUACCGGAAGGAACACCAGUGGCGAAGGCGACUUUCUGGACCAAUACUGACGCUGAGGCGCGAAAGCGUGGGGAGCAAACAGGAUUAGAUACCCUGGUAGUCCACGCCAUAAACGAUGAAUACUAGCCGCUUGGCGCAUAAAAGUGCUGGGUGGCGCAGCUAACGCAAUAAGUAUUCCGCCUGGGGAGUACGGCCGCAAGGUUAAA